CCCGGAUAGUUAACUAUAACACUUAGGCCGUGACCCUAAAAAUAGAGUAUCUACUCUUCCGAGCC
rnacentral:tRNA from 1 species